rnacentral:rRNA from 1 species
AGCGAACGCUGGCGGCAGGCCUAGCACAUGCAAGUCGAACGAAGUCUUCGGACUUAGUGGCGGACGGGUGAGUAACACGUGGGAACGUACCUUUUGGUUCGGAACAACUCAGGGAAACUUGAGCUAAUACCGAAAGUGCCCUUCGGGGGAAAGAUUUAUCGCCAUUAGAGCGGCCCGCGUUAGAUUAGCUAGUUGGUGGU